rnacentral:rRNA from 1 species
GACGAACGCUGGCGGCGUGCCUAAUACAUGCAAGUAGGACGCAGUUGCGAACGGGGGAGUAACGCGUAGGUAACUACCUAUUAGAGGGGGAUAACUAUUGGAAACGAUAGCUAAUACCGCAUACUAGUAGAUGGACCUGCGUUGUAUUAGCUAGUAGGUCGGGUAAUGGCCUACCUAGGCAACGAUACAUAGCCGAGCCGGGGUGGUGGUCGGGCACACUGGGACUUGGACACGGCCCAGACUCCUACGGGAGGCAUGAGGAGGGAAUCUUCGGCAAUGGGGGGAACCCCGACCGAGCAACGCCGCGUGAGUGAAGAAGGUUUUCGGAUCGUAAAGCUCUGUUGUUAAGGAAGCGAUACUUAACCAGAAAGGGACGGCUAACUACGUGCCAGCAGCCGCGGUAAUUC